AAAACACAAACCAAGCUUCUUCUUGCGUCUCAAAGCUUUGAUGGUGUAGCCGUAGUCCAUAUGAGUCUUUGUCUUUGUUUCUUCUAACAAGAAAACAAUACUUAGGCUUUUAUGAUCUAAUU
rnacentral:sRNA from 1 species